GGGGGGAGGUCGGAUCCUCGGCUGUGUCCCCGGCGCCCUGUGCUCCCGGGCCUGCGGUGUUAGAUUCACACUCUGGCCGGGCAGCCUCCU
rnacentral:pre_miRNA from 1 species